rnacentral:rRNA from 1 species
AGGGCGGGACACGUGAUAUCCUGUCUGAAUAUGGGGGGACCAUCCUCCAAGGCUAAAUACUACUGACUGACCGAUAGUGAACCAGUACCGUGAGGGAAAGGCGAAAAGAACCCCUGUGAGGGGAGUGAAAUAGAACCUGAAACCGUGUACGUACAAGCAGUAGGAGCAGGCUUUGUCCUGUGACUGCGUACCUUUUGUAUAAUGGGUCAGCGACUUAUAUUCAGUGGCAAGGUUAACCAUCUAGGGGAGCCGUAGGGAAACCGAGUCUUAACUGGGCGUUCAGUCUCUGGAUAUAGACCCGAAACCAGGUGAUCUAGCCAUGGGCAGGUUGAAGGUUGAGUAACAUCAACUGGAGGACCGAACCGACUAAUGUUGAAAAAUUAGCGGAUGACUUGUGGCUAGGGGUGAAAGGCCAAUCAAACCUGGAGAUAGCUGGUUCUCCCCGAAAGCUAUUUAGGUAGCGCCUCGGACGAAUACUACUGGGGGUAGAGCACUGUUAAGGCUAGGGGGUCAUCCCGACUUACCAACCCUUUGCAAACUCCGAAUACCAGUAAGUACUAUCCGGGAGACACACGGCGGGUGCUAACGUCCGUCGUGGAGAGGGAAACAACCCAGACCGCCAGCUAAGGUCCCAAAUUACUACUAAGUGGGAAACGAUGUGGGAAGGCUCAGACAGCCAGGAUGUUGGCUUAGAAGCAGCCAUCAUUUAAAGAAAGCGUAAUAGCUCACUGGUCGAGUCGGCCUGCGCGGAAGAUGUAACGGGGCUAAGUAGUAAACCGAAGCUGCGGCAAUGUGCUUUUGCACAUUGGGUAGGGGAGCGUUCUGUAAGCGGUUGAAGGUGUGUGGUAACGCAUGCUGGACGUAUCAGAAGUGCGAAUGCUGACAUGAGUAACGAUAAAGGGGGUGAAAAACCUCCUCGCCGGAAGACCAAGGGUUCCUGUCCAACGUUAAUCGGGGCAGGGUAAGUCGACCCCUAAGGCGAGGCCGAAAGGCGUAGUCGAUGGGAAACGGGUUAAUAUUCCCGUACUUCUUACAAUUGCGAUGGGGGGACGGAGAAGGCUAGGUGGGCCUGGCGACGGUUGUCCAGGUUCAAGUGCGUAGGCUUAAGAGUUAGGUAAAUCCGGCUCUUUCUAAGGCUGAGACACGACGUCGAGCACCUACGGGUGUGAAGUCAUUGAUGCCAUGCUUCCAGGAAAAGCCUCUAAGCUUCAGAUUGUAAGGAAUCGUACCCCAAACCGACACAGGUGGUCGG